rnacentral:lncRNA from 1 species
GGGGGCGGUGCUUUGGGUAGCAGCUGACAGCCUGACUGAGGUUGAAGCCCUAUAGUGCAAACUUAAGAAUACUAUAAAACAGCUUAUUUUCUCCACACUUAGUGUGAGACUUAAAACUAAAUCCACCGCACAAUAUUUCUUCUUGAGAUACCUUCUACCUUUUGCCAUGUGUUAUUUCUUGGUUUUGUUUUUUCUGUGUCGGGAGGAACAGUACCCCAUUCUGUAUUUGGUUCAAGCUCCAGCAAACUGCUCACGUGCCUCGUAUGUUCUACAAGAUUCGCACACUGGGAUGGCUCAUGUGGUGUCAUGAAUUGUGAACAUUACUGUGCAGUCAUUCUCAGAAGCUCUGAGAUGCAAGACAUUAUUUGUCAAGAUUGCAGGUGCUCCAGCAGGAACCUAUCCAGCUCUUUGUAGGUGUUAU